AAAAAAAAAAAAAAAAAACAGACUCCAAGAAGAUCUGGCAAAAAACCUUUAGAGAUGGUAACAGUGGGAUUUAUAGCUGAAGCCUCUUUGCUACAGUCACAUCUGGCUAUUAGCUAUUAGAACAUGCUGCAAUACAAAUAAUGUGCAAUUAUUAUGCAGUUAUGUUGUCAAACAGUGUUUAAAAUUAAAUGUCCUGGCCUAAGGUUGCACCCUGGAUUACAUGGAUAUAACACUAAAAACCUGUAUGGUAGGAUGCUGAUUAAUCCCUCUCGACUCAUUCUGUUUUGUGGGAGUUAUUAUACUUGUAUGAGCUCUAUGAUUAAUAGCUGGAAAUCAGCAGCAUUGUGGCAGAGAGUGAGAUGAAAUUUCUUAGUAAGAAUUUUCUCACAGUGUUGUUGUUAAGUAUUUCAAUGGUUGGUUACAGGGUUACAGUGUCCCCAUUACUCCAGUAAGUCAUGUGGAUUAUCCAUAAUAAAGAUGAUACUGGUGAUUUAUAUAUAGUAGCUGUUGUUUACGUUUUUCAAAUGUUAUAUAUUAAUUAUUUUAGAUUUCCAUGUUUAAAUUCAACCCUUUAAACACAACAGUAGUAUUUCAAAACCUUGGCAUAUAAAACCACAGCAGGCUACAGGGUUAAAUAGAUACCACUUGGGGUGAGGAGAGAAAAUAUCUGCUUGUAAUUUGUUUGCAUUGACCCUUUAUAGUGUUGUUUCACGUGACCAUAGGUAAAAGCGUAACCAAGAAGAUUGGAUUGGUGACACACGCGCAUUAAUGACAAGAGAAGCCCGUGACUCACUGAGGCAAGCAUCAGUGACAAUCUGGUUUCCAUCAUCACACUCCUCUCCGUGCUGGGCCUGCACCUUUCCAUCCCCACACAUGCCAACUCUGUCCGGGACUUUCUCUGUGGACUGGAACGGCUGGAAGGGCUAGAUGAAGCGUAAAGGAGAAAACACAAGCGCUGACUUGACAUUUCAGGCCGUCCAGUUGGUCCUCUCUUCCCCGAGAUUCCUGGCUCUCCCUUUGGUCCCUGUUCACCCUGAGAGAGGAGCAGAAUUUAGGAAUACUCAUGUUAAAUCAAAUCUUUAAGUGUCCUCAUUCUUUAAUUGUUCCUACCUUCUGGCCAAGCAUCCCGGGCAAACCAAUUGAACCCUAAGUAGAGACAAAAUGAGAGUCUUAGUGAAAAAAGUCAUUCCCUCAGCAGAAUUGGGACUCAUUAAGUGUUAUUAAUCUGGCUCUGAGACAGACAGUGUAUUGAAACAGCUUGAAAUGUAAAGACCUGAAAGACAGUAUCUCAUGAACCUCUUCAAUCAAUAUUUAAAGAAGCUGUUGUGGAGGAUUUUAAGGCCUAAGCAAAAGAUCAGAACCUUCAUAACAAACGAGUUAAGGUACUAAUUGUCCAAGCUGGGCAUAAAUGGGCUGAAUGUAUUUAUGCAACAAAACACCUUCCAAUACAAUUUCAGGACCUGCAAUAAAAGAAGCAUUUCUCUCAAA